CAUGGAUCUGUCAGGAUUUUGGAAAAGUGUGUGACCAGGGGCAGAGUGGUUAAUUUAUGUGCAGAAAAUGCAACAACCACGAUCAGCCAAAGGGGAGGGAUAGAGACUACAAAAGGUUGAGAUGGCAC
rnacentral:lncRNA from 12 species